CAUAUAAAAAAAGACAACGCUGUUCCGCAGAGUAGCUGUUGACAUUAUAGUUGCGCAGGAACUUUGAUGACUCUAGAAAACCUCGCGCAAAACGCACAUCCCCAUGGCUGGGACUUUGCAUGCGGAUGUCAUCCAUAUCAACUUUCGAUGACAAUUUCUGCGCCUACCAUGGUGAGCACGGGUAACGGGGAAUCAGGGUUCCAUUCCGUACAGGGACCCUGAGAAACGGCUACCACAUGCAAGGAAGGCAG